UGGCCUAAUACAUGCAAGUCGAACGCACAGCGAAAGGUGCUUGCACCUUUCAAGUGAGUGGCGAACGGGUGAGUAACACGUGGACAACCUGCCUCAAGGCUGGGGAUAACAUUUGGAAACAGAUGCUAAUACCGAAUAAAACUUAGUGUCGCAUGACACAAAGUUAAAAGGCGCUUCGGCGUCACCUAGAGAUGGAUCCGCGGUGCAUUAGUUAGUUGGUGGGGUAAAGGCCUACCAAGACAAUGAUGCAUAGCCGAGUUGAGAGACUGAUCGGCCACAUUGGGACUGAGACACGGCCCAAACUCCUACGGGAGGCUGCAGUAGGGAAUCUUCCACAAUGGGCGAAAGCCUGAUGGAGCAACGCCGCGUGUGUGAUGAAGGCUUUCGGGUCGUAAAGCACUGUUGUAUGGGAAGAACAGCUAGAAUAGGAAAUGAUUUUAGUUUGACGGUACCAUACCAGAAAGGGACGGCUAAAUACGUGCCAGCAGCCGCGGUAAUACGUAUGUCCCGAGCGUUAUCCGGAUUUAUUGGGCGUAAAGCGAGCGCAGACGGUUUAUUAAGUCUGAUGUGAAAGCCCGGAGCUCAACUCCGGAAUGGCAU
rnacentral:rRNA from 2 species